AGAGUUUGAUUCUGGCUCAGGAUGAACGCUGGCGGCGUGCUUAACACAUGCAAGUCGAACGAAGCAUUGUGAUUGAUUCUCGGAUUGAAAUCACUUGACUUAGUGGCGGACGGGUGAGUAACGCGUGGGUAACCUGUCCUUCACAGGGGGAUAACACAGCGAAAGUUGUACUAAUACCGCAUAAGACCACGGUACCGCAUGGUGCAGGGGUCAAAGGAGGAAUCCGGUGAAGGGUGGGCUCGCGUCCGAUUAGAUAGUUGGUGAGGUAACGGCCCACCAAGUCAACGAUCGGUAGCCGACCUGAGAGGGUGAUCGGCCACAUUGGGACUGAGACACGGCCCAAACUCCUACGGGAGGCAGCAGUGGGGAAUAUUGGGCAAUGGGGGGAAAAACCCCCUGACCCAGCAACGCCGCGUGAGGGAAGAAGGUUUUCGGAUCGUAAACCUCUGUCCUAGGUGAAGAGGAAGAGACGGUAGCCUAGGAGGAAGCCCCGGCUAACUACGUGCCAGCAGCCGC
rnacentral:rRNA from 1 species